AGAGGAGAAGGAGGAACAAAAGAGAAACAAAAGAGGGUUGGUUGCAAUUAUAGAAGAGAAGAGGGAACACGUAUAGUCUGUCUGUCGCUUUUGCCUCGCACAACUAUGAAAACUUGUUUCCUAAACGUACACACAGAUAGUAGAAUACACAUAGAUUAUACGCGAGUCACGGAGACGGCCAUUCAUACGCCACCCCCGCCUCCACCCUCUGUGAUUUCACCGGAUCUCCCAUCGCGCCGAUUGCGGGGGUGGAAAUGGUAGGUGGAUUAUGCUCGUCCGCGGCUGAACUCGCGUGCAAUGCAAUUAUGCUCGCGUUAUCGUGCCACCACUCUACGAUAUCGAGCCAAUUUCACCGUGGUGACCCGUUUCAAACUCGUUCCACGCCGCCAACUCUUCUGUAUUGGAUUGCGGGGGUGGUACGAGGUUUACGCUGCAAUGGCGUCAAAUAUGGUACAUUGGAAAUAUAUAGCGUAUAGAAGAUAGACGAUUCUUGUGUAUUUGUGAAUUCGAUUUGUGUUUGUGAUCGAAGAAUAAUUUUCGCAAAUUCAUAUAAUUGAAAAUGUGUAGAGAAUAUAACUUGUUAAGUGUUAAGUGAAUUGUAGUGAAAAUUUUCAAUAACCUUAAAAAAGUAACUCGUGGAUUUAAAAAUUAUUUUUAUCUUUCUGUUUACAUUUAAAAUAACAUUUCAAAAAGAUUAAUCAAAAAAGUAUUAUAGUUAAGUGGUUCUACACUAUUCUACAAAGUGGUCGAAAAAUGGUCCAUCUUGUAAAAGAUCAUAUACAACGAGUGAAAAUGGGAUUCAUCAUCUAAAUGUAACGGAUUAAUUCAGAAGAUGAUCUUAGGACCAGAUAUUCCGACGAAUUGGAAAGCUUCGAAACCAUCACUACUACAUCUUGUUAUUUCGAGAAAAACGAGCGAUACGUGACGAUCAGAGGAAAAACACAUCGUCAAAUAGAUCGAGCUGAUUGUUUAGAAGCCUCGGUUGGAAGUGACUGAAAUCGGUUGUUGGACAAGAAUGUUGGAAGAGUGUGGUUAUAUUACUUAGUUUACCCAUUUUUGUACGUAUCUGUGAUACGUAUUGUGGAUCAACCAACAAUAUCAAACAUAUACAUUUCGCACAAUUUAAAUCAUAAUACAGUAUAAUACCGUAACUAAGAAAGGUUACUUUGGAAAUAUAUUGAUGUUAACUGUCUUCAAACAAACCUCUAUCAAACAGUCACCAACGACAUCAAACAUGUACAAUCACGCUUUAAAUCUAUAUAAAGAUCUCAACACGGCAUGAUAUUAUAACUAACAGGGAUCACUUUGAGAAAAUAUUGAAGUUAAUCAGCGUCUUCUUUCACUUCAAACAAACUUCAACUUCAAGAGACCAAUCAACUGGAUCUAACAUAUACAUUCCCAUAAUUUACAUUUAUGAAAAUCAUAACACAUCGUCAUACUCUACCUAAUAAUGCCCACUUUAGAAAACACAUGCACAAAAGUUCAUCAAUGUUAUCCUCCAAUUCAAACAGACUUCAACCUCGUUCAAGAGGCCAAUCAACGACAU